rnacentral:rRNA from 1 species
AAAGAAAGCGUAAUAGCUCACUGGUCGAGUCGGCCUGCGCGGAAGAUGUAACGGGGCUAAACCAUGCACCGAAGCUGCGGCAGCGACGCUUAUGCGUUGUUGGGUAGGGGAGCGUUCUGUAAGCCUGCGAAGGUGUGCUGUGAGGCAUGCUGGAGGUAUCAGAAGUGCGAAUGCUGACAUAAGUAACGAUAAAGCGGGUGAAAAGCCCGCUCGCCGGA